rnacentral:rRNA from 1 species
GACGAACUCUGGCGGCGUGCCUAAUACAUGCAAGUAGAACGAGUAGCGAACGGGUGAGUAACGCGUGGUAACCUGCCUCAUAGCGGGGGAUAACUUUUGCAAACGAUAGCUAAUACCGCAUACUGUGAGAUGGACCUGCGUUGCAUUAGCUAGUUGGUGAGGUAAAGGCUCACCAAGGCGACGAUACAUAGCCGAGCUGAGAGGAUGAUCAGUCACACUGGAACUGAGACACGGUCCAGACUCCUACGGGAGGCAGAAGUGGGGAAUAUUGCACAAUGGGCGCAAGCCUGAUGCAGCCAUGCCGCGUGUAUGAAGAAGGCCUUCGGGUUGUAAAGUACUUUCAGCGGGGAGGCGUUACCCGCAGAAGAAGCACCGGCUAACUACGUGCCAGCAGCCGCGGUAAUAC